ACGUGCACCGUCCUCUGUGCCUCUUAACAGGUGUGCCUCCGCAUGAUCUUUAGCUCAAAAACUCCAGGAGAGCGAGCGCACGUACUCGCUGUCCUCUUUUUUUUUAUCGCUGACUGCCUGGCAAGUCAGUGCGGCAUCCGGCAACCUCGUCAUGAUCACCAUCUUGGCCUGUGACCACUGUCGCUAGUGGCACCGGGUAUGGCGUCGAACAUGCACACACACACACACACACGUGCGCACCAGCAUUUGAACGUGGGGGCGAAGAUCGACUCUAGCUCGUUGUGGAAGCUCCUUCCCCUAUCGUAGCUGUACCGGCAAUUUCAUGCAGAGCCGCUCACCCUCUCUGAUAGUGGCAUAUCCCCAGCGGUACUGGCCUUGUGCUUGUUGGUCUGGAUUGAUUCGCAUACACCCACACGCCCCCCCCCAUCCCCUCCCUUGCACACAACUGUGCGCCUUCGAAGCAGAUGCGUUUCCUGUAGCAUUUGGUUCGAUGCAGACCAUGCUUUCCGGGUGUCUGUGUGUGCGUGUAUCUGCACUCACUGGCGAUGUUUCUGGCUUGCACUCUCAUCUAUCGCCAUAUCGUUGUCGCUGUGGUCGUUAGCCUCAGCCUUGCACGCCGCGACGAACAGCCAGCUCUGUCGUUCCCAUCGCUGAUGGAUACAUCUCAUCCAGGCCAUCCGCCUGUCUCGCGUGUGUGUGCUUUCAGGGUCGUUUUUCGCCUCUCGUAUCCCGCGUAUUGCCCCUAUCCUGCCCUUCCACACACAGCCACGUGCGCGCACGGAAUUCGCCGCUCGUUGCCGUUUGCUCUUCUCGCACGUGGACUCACACCCUACUCUUCUCCUUCAGCUUGCUUCUCUACGGACCCUUCAACCUUGUUGCCGUGCCCGAGCUCGAAACUUGGACAGCAUCCGCACGCCCCCCACCCACCACCACGCACGCACGCAGAGCUGGGUGAGGACAUUGUAGAUAUAUCUUUCACCUCAGCCUUAGGAGGGGAGAGCUCAGUCUGACGUCUUUGCUAGAUGAAGCUGGCAGGGUCGGGUGGCGAAUGGGGGUGGGGCCAAACGACGUUUUUAGUUUUGUUGGAGAGGGGAUGUAAGGCGAGAAAUGAGAGAGUGUGCCGUCACAACGCCUGACGGAAAAGGAAAGCAUGAGUUGACAUCGGAAGAGACGAGUUUGCGGAAAGAGGGAGGGAAGCUUGCAGCCGUCCUUCGCCCCCCCCCCACCACCGCUCUUUCACGCUCGCCUUUCUCUGCCAGUGUAUGCGGAUCAUGCCUCUCUCCAUCUCGGUAUGUGUGUCUAAUCGGGUUCUACCUGCUGCUUUCGAAGCUGCCGCCUGAUUUUUUUUUUAUUCUGCAUGCUGUCACAACUAUAUCCUCCCUUGCCCUUUGACAGCCUCUACGCCCCUUGGCGCCCCCCCUCCCCCCGCAUCUCCCUCUCUGUCUUUCUCUCGUCCCCCUCCUUAUUUCUGUGUGUGUGUGUGCUUAAGUGGUUUCUUCUUUACUUCGCUCGGCCUCAUCGUUGUGUGUCAGUCCUUCUUCUCUGCCACGUGCUGCCGUUAUGAAGCACACACACACACACGCAGAGCACUUGUGUCGGUAUGCGCCAUGCGCCGACUUGUGAUGUUUACCUCCUUUUGUUUUUGUUUUCCCGUGUCCGUGAACGGUCGCCGCAGGCCUGCCACACCCUUGCCCCACGAACCCCCCUCCACAUCCUCAGACGUCUUGCAAGGCUGCUGCCAGCCUCACGCGUGCGCCUUGUGCGUGUUUGCCGGGGCGGCUUCGGAUCAUCUUCUCCCCUCCAUCGCUGCCGUUUCGGUGCCUUUUCAGCUCUCCCCAUGUUACACGUUUUGGCCUGUUUCUUAUUCCUUUGGUGUGAUCGAUGAUGCCGCUUCGUGCUGCGGGGAGGGGGGCGGUGGCGGCGCUUGUUAUGGACCCUCUCCUCCUGCACCUCCCUGGGGCUUCGUCGUGGCCGCGGCAAAUAGUGCCAUCGAUGAAAAUCGUGCAACGGUCGGUGCGAUCAUGCCAAAGUUGCCGUCCCCUGUGCGCACGAUAUGCACACUAAGAACGCGGAAUCGGACUCGAGAGAGGAGAGGGACGGGGUGUGAGAGCGACGGUGCCUGCAUAGGUCGUGGAAGUGCCCCUCCCUCUUCACGCAGACACACACGCGCGCGCGACCGCCAGCACUACAGAUGCAAAGGCGAAUCAAAUAGAAAGGCGCGCUCUACUCCGGAGGUGCACAAAACACCCCUGCGC
rnacentral:misc_RNA from 1 species